AUUGAACGCUGGCGGUAGGCCUAACACAUGCAAGUCGAACGAGUGGCGGACGGGUGAGGAAUACAUCGGAAUCUACUCUGUCGUGGGGGAUAACGUCUGGAAACGUACGCUAAUACCGCAUACGAUCGAAUGAGCCGAUGUCGGAUUAGCUAGUUGGCGGGGUAACGGCCCACCAAGGCGACGAUCCGUAGCUGGUCUGAGAGGAUGAUCAGCCACACUGGAACUGAGACACGGUCCAGACUCCUACGGGAGGCAGCAGUGGGGAAUAUUGGACAAUGGGCGAAAGCCUGAUCCAGCCAUGCCGCGUGUGUGAAGAAGGUCUUCGGGUUGUAAAGUACUUUAAGUUGGGAGGCGUUACCAACAGAAUAAGCACCGGCUAACUCCGUGCCAGCAGCCGCGGUAAUAC
rnacentral:rRNA from 1 species